rnacentral:misc_RNA from 1 species
UUCCAGCCCAGGCAACUAUAC